AGGACAUCCUGCAAGGCUGGAGGUAGUGUGAAAUUCAUUUCUUUGGUCAGGAGAUACGGAAUUGCAGUUUCUGCCAUGGAGAGACCAUCACUACAAGCUCUGCAACAGAUCAUUUCCUAUCAUUCUGGUUCAGGCCAGUGAUAAACUUGCUGCACGUUUUCAGGAAGGAAAGAAGAGUGGGAAGGGUACAUGGUGGCAGCAUUUCCUCAAGGGACCCCUACCCAGGUGUUUAUAGUGACGUAUUCCCAAUUUAGUGGUGACUGAUGGGAACUACAAGUUUAACUUCAGUCAGUUUUGCUCUGCACGUUGUUAUUUGUCUCUCAUUUUGCCAACACCAUUACCACUGCUUGCUACCUACUGCAGAUGGCCAGUAUCUUCUGAUGGUGGAACAGAAAGUUUCACAGAUCCCUUUUGAAGAAGGAAUUCUGCUAAUUAUGGUUUUCCAGUUGCUCCCCACAGCCAGAUUUAGAUGUUCUAAACGUUCAAACAGGAGAACGUGACAAUGGAGAAGACAAUAACUAAGCCACCUGUUGUAACUACCCGUAGUAAAAAUAAAACGUCUGUCAGCCAGCAUGAAAUCAGAAAGGACCCAUGGGAGAUCCUGAAUGCAACAGAGCACCAGAUAAGGCUCCCCCACCACUACUUUGAAGUGGGGAUUAUCCCGGAGGGAUCUACUCAAACACACUGAUAUGUUCCAGAUGUAUUCCCUUGCAGAAGGUCACAGCAAAAAUAUUGGCAGGGAGUGUUGAGGAGAGCAAGAGAUUUAUUGUUUUCGUGGGAAUCUUUAAGUCUGAUAAUGCUAAAAGCCACGUUUAAUGUUCUAUAUUGUUCUCAUUUUCAUAUUUGCAAGGGGACUCAUUUCAGCCGUGUUUGCAUGGUAUAAAUUCUAAGGGGCUGCAAAAAUUGGGUGGUUUUUUUUAGUUUAAAACCACACCUACUUUUAUCAGUCCAGGUACUUAGAAGGUACUUCAUUAUACAGUUAAAUGGUUUCAAAAUAAUUUAAUAAAUUUAGUUGCACUUUCCUCCUAGAAAAGUAUCACA